UAUUGCGCAAUGGAGGAAACUCUGACGCAGUGACGCCGCGUAUAGGAAGAAGGUUUUCGGAUUGUAAACUAUUGUCCACAGGGAAGAAAAAAGACUGUACCUGUGAAGAAAGCUCCGGCUAACUACGUGCCAGCAUCCGCGGUAAUACGUAGGGAGCAAGCGUUAUCCGGAAUUAUUGGGUGUAAAGGGUGCGUAGACGGGAUAACAAGUUGGUUGUGAAACCCCUCGGCUUAACUGAGGAACUGCAACCAAAACUAUUAUUCUUGAGUGCAGGAGAGGAAAGUGGAAUUCCUAGUGUAGCGGUGAAAUGCGUAGAUAUUAGGAAGAACACCGGUGGCGAAGGCGACUUUCUGGACUGUAACUGACGUUGAGGCACGAAAGUGUGGGGAGCAAACAGG
rnacentral:rRNA from 1 species